rnacentral:rRNA from 1 species
AGAGUUUGAUCCUGGCUCAGAGUGAACGCUGGCGGUAGGCCUAACACAUGCAAGUCGAACGGCAGCACAGAGGAGCUUGCUCCUUGGGUGGCGAGUGGCGGACGGGUGAGGAAUACAUCGGAAUCUACUUUUUCGUGGGGGAUAACGUAGGGAAACUUACGCUAAUACCGCAUACGACCUACGGGUGAAAGCAGGGGAUCUUCGGACCUUGCGCGAUUGAAUGAGCCGAUGUCGGAUUAGCUAGUUGGCGGGGUAAAGGCCCACCAAGGCGACGAUCCGUAGCAGGUCUGAGAGGAUGAUCAGCCACACUGGAACUGAGACACGGUCCAGACUCCUACGGGAGGCAGCAGUGGGGAAUAUUGGACAAUGGGCGCAAGCCUGAUCCAGCCAUACCGCGUGGGUGAAGAAGGCCUUCGGGUUGUAAAGCCCUUUUGUUGGGAAAGAAAUCCAGCCGGCUAAUACCUGGUUGGGAUGACGGUACCCAAAGAAUAAGCACCGGCUAACUUCGUGCCAGCAGCCGCGGUAAU